rnacentral:misc_RNA from 1 species
GAAAUGCGAUAAGUAAUGUGAAUUGCAGAAUUCCGUGAAUCAUCGAAUCUUUGAACGCACAUUGCGCCCUCUGGUAUUCCGGGGGGCAUGCCUGUCCGAGCGUCAUUGCGAACCCCUCAAGCACGGCUUGUGUGAUGGGCCCUCCCGCGUCUUGGUCGUCAAGACGGGCCCGAAAAGCAGUGGCGGCUUCGCGGUUAUCCGAUCAGCCAGAGCGUAUGGGGACUUUCUCUCUGUCACACGCCCGCGGCGCGGACCGACGCCUGUCGCCCUUUAUUCAUCUUUUUCUCGGUUGACCUCGGAUCAGGUAGGGAUACCCGCUGAACUUAAGC